CCAUCUUAACAGAAUUCACUCCAUUUAUCAUAAUAUUAAAAAAAAAUUGAGGCAAGCAAGGUAAGGUGAGGUAAGGUGAGGUAAAGUAAGGUUAGGUUAGGUUAGGUUAGGUAAUGUUAGGUUAGGUUAGGUAAGGUAAGGUAAGAUAAGGUAAAGUUAGGUUAGGUAAGGUUAGGUAAGGUGAGGUAAGGUUAGGUUAGGUUAGGUAAGGUAAGGUUAGGUUAGAUAAGGUGAGGUAAGGUAAGGUAGGGUAAGGUUAGAUAAGGUAAGGUAAGGUAAGGUUAGAUUAGGUUAGGUUGGGUAAGGUAAGAUAAGGUUAGGUUAGGUAAGGUAAGGUAAGGUAAGGUUAGGUUAGGUUAGGUUAAGUAAGGUAAGGUUAGGUAAGGAAAGGUAAGGAGGUGCAGGUUAGGGUAAGUGGCAAAGGUAAGGAUUAGUCCAUCUUAAGGGAACAGGAAGGAAAGCAGAUUAGGGUAAGUGUUGGGACUAUUGAGGUAAGGAAAUAGUCUAUCUUGAAGGCAAAGGAAAGGAGGACAAGGUUAGGGUAAGGGCCAGAAAGGUAAGGAAUCACUCAGUCUUAAGGGAACAGAAGGGAAAGGAGGUGGAGAUUAGGGUAAGAGGCAAAAGGUAAGUCUAGUCAGUGUUAGGUAUGCAGUUUAGGGUAAGGGAUUAAGGUAAGCGUCUAGUCCAUCUUAUUAGGGUAGGUGGCAGGAAGGGAGAGGAGGAGUAGUUUAGGGUAAGGGAUUAAGGUAAGCGUCUAGUCCAUCUUAUUAGGGUAGGUGGCAGGAAGGGAGAGGAGGAGUAGUUUAGGGUAAGGGGCAGGAAGGUAAGGGAAGAGGGAAGGAAGUGUAGAUUAGGGUAAGGAGCAAAGGUAAGUCUAGUCAAUCUCAAGUGUUCAGGUUAGGGAAAGGGAUUAAGGUAAGGGUCUAGUCCAUUUUGAGGGCAUAGGACAGGAGGUGGAGGUUAGGGUAAGUGGCGGGUAGGGCGAGGAAGGCAAGGAGCGAGCAUAGGGUAAGGCAGGUUAGGGUAAGGAAUGAAGGUAACAGUCUAGUCCAUAUUAAGGGCACAGGACAGGAGGUGGAGGUUAGGGUAGGUGGCGGGUAGGGCGAGGAAGGCAAGGGGGAAGCAUAGGGUAAGAGACAGAAAGGUAAGUCAAGUCAAUCUCAAGUGUUCAGGUUAGGGAAAGGGAUUAAGGUAAGGGUC